rnacentral:rRNA from 1 species
CGGCCCUACGGGUUGUAAACUGCUUUUAUACCGGGGAAUAAAACCUAUCUACGUGUAGAUAGCUGAAUGUAACCUGUAAGAAUAAGGAUCGGCUAACUCCGUGC